rnacentral:rRNA from 1 species
GACGAACGCUGGCGGCGUGCCUAAUACAUGCAAGUUGAGCGAUGAAGAUUGGUGCUUGCUCCUAUUUGAAGAGCAGCGAACGGGUGAGUAACGCGUGGGGAAUCUGCCUUUGAGCGGGGGACAACAUUUGGAAACGAAUGCUAAUACCGCAUAACAACUUUAAACAUAAGUUUUAAGUUUGAAAGAUGCAAUUGCAUCACUCAAAGAUGAUCCCGCGUUGUAUUAGCUAGUUGGUGAGGUAAAGGCUCACCAAGGCGAUGAUACAUAGCCGACCUGAGAAGGUGAUCGGGCACAUUGGGACUGAGACACGGCCCAAACUCCUACGGGAGGCAGCAGGAGGGAAUCUUCGGCAAUGGACGAAAGGCUGACCGAGCAACGCCGCGUGAGUGAAGAAGGGUUUCGGAUCGUAAAACUCUGUUGGUAGAGAAGAACGUUGGUGAGAGUGGAAAGCUCAUCAAGUGACGGUAACUACCCAGAAAGGGACGGCUAACUACGUG